UACAGAGGGUGCAAGCGUUAAUCGGAAUUACUGGGCGUAAAGCGCACGUAGGCGGAUUGUUAAGUCAGGGGUGAAAUCCUGGAGCUCAACUCCAGAACUGCCUUUGAUACUGAGGAUCUUGAGUACGGGAGAGGUGAGUGGAACUGCGAGUGUAGAGGUGAAAUUCGUAGAUAUUCGCAAGAACACCAGUGGCGAAGGCGGCUCACUGGCCCGUAACUGACGCUGAGGUGCGAAAGCGUGGGGAGCAAACAGG
rnacentral:rRNA from 1 species